GAUGAAAUUAGAAGUCCAGGGACU
rnacentral:miRNA from 1 species